GAGAAUGUCUCAUAGAAAAGUUGAGCAUCCAGGACAUGUUUCAUUGGGUUUCCUUCCAAGGAAACGAGCUAACAGACAAGCUUGUAAUUAGAUCUUAAGACCAUACUUUGUUGCAUCUUCUGUAUUGCCGUAUUGGUCGGAUAAACUUGCUUAAUUUCUCAUGGAAAGUGUUUGAUUUUCUAGCAUAAUGUUGUAUCAUACACGUUUCCUAAGCAUAUUAAUUUCAUAUGGUGUGUAGUCUUAUCUGACAUGCCUAGUUUGAUAAUCCUACUAAGUUUAUCACAUUCUAUGAUACGUACGUCUUCCAAAUUCACAAACGGUCAAUUCCAAACUACUCAGGAGAAGGCCAAGUUCUAUGACAGAGUCAAAGCUUAGAUUUUCAUAAUUCAGUUCUUUCUAUUAGAACAGUGUUUUCUUUUCUAAGUAUUAUUGCUUUUCAGAGUUACUAAUUUCUUGUUAACCAUUUUGGUUAAAAGGUUUAUGGCAAACGUACUUUUAGGCUUGUAUAAUGAAAAAGGUAUAAGCACAAGUUCUCACGUCACGGCGAGCAAUAGAUCGAUGAAUCAAAAUCUACAUGAAACCAUAUUUAGCAGAGUGUGGAAAUUUGGAAUCCUUUACUUAUUUAGAAGUUGUAGUAAUUAGUCACGCAAUUAAGUCUCAUUUAUUGAUGGGUUUUUUUUUAUGGCUCAAAUUGCAUGAUGAUUAUAUUAUAUAACAUGGAAGGUUUAAUUAUAAGCAUGCUUAUCAGUAUGUUACUUGAGUUAGUAAAUCAAUAGAAAUAUAUGUUCAAUCUAGAUUAGUUAGAUAAUUCGAUCUGAAAUUCAUAUUGAACGUAUGGAAAUUUUAAUCAAUAUCUCUUAACCUAUGCCUUUGUAAUUGUAGCCUUAUCCAGAAAAAAAACAAAAACAAUAAUACAUAUAAAACCGGGAUAAUGUCGGGAGAUUAUCGCAGCCAACUAUUAAGUUUCCAAAAUGAUACUUGUGUCUUCUAGAAGUUAUUAUGUUCUUGAUCUCUUUGUCCAAGGGCGGACGCAUUAAGAUUUAAAGUGGGUUAACUGAUGUAACACUCCGACCGUCCUUACCAGUGGGCCCCACGUCUUCUUUUGGAUCUUUCUUUGUGUUUUAUCCUUACUCACACAGUUCCGACAAUCACCCAUCCUGAAACUACUCCAGUCCAAGCACGCUUAACUGUAGAGUUUUCUCAGGACAGUUGACCGAAAAGAUAAGUGCACUUUGGUGACAUAGGUGGCAAAAUCAAUUCUUUUAAAUCUCUCUGCAUGCACUACCAUAUACCUGACACUAGGGUGUUACAAUUCAGCCCCACUAACUGAUCGCAACGUUCUUGUUGCGCACCAAGACCGUAACCCCCGACAGUGUGAGCCCUCUCGACUCCACACUCGUCUGGGUUCGGCUCUGAUACCACUUGUAACGCUCCGACCGUCCCUACCAGUGGGCCCCACGUCCUCUCUCGGGCCCAUGGGCCCACCCCUGUGCGACAGUCGGUUCGCUACGUACGAGAGGCUUUAAAGACUUGUUUACCGACCCUACAAAUCACCACAUGAUCUUUCCCUGUGUUUUGUCCUCACUCACACAGUUCUGACAAUCACUUCCCGGAAGAUCACCCAUCCUGAAACUACUCCAGCCCAAACACGCUUAACUGUGGAGUUCUCUCAGGACAGUUAGUUGACCGAAAAGAUAAGUGCACUUUGGUGACAUAGGUAGCCAAAUCAAUUCUUUUAAACCUCUCAGCAUGCACCACCAUAUUCCUGAAACCGGGUGUUACAACUGACCCCUUAAAAUUAUGAUACUGUGUUACAGUCCUUUAAUAUUUAUAAUAUUGUUUAUAAUUCUUGUGUUUUGACCCUCUUAAAAAUCUCAAUUGUGUUAUAGCCCUUUAAGAUUCAUACUAUUGUUUAUAAUUCUUAUGCUUUGACCCUCUUAAAAUUAUAAAUUUGUAUUUCAACCCUUUAAAUUUUAGAAUUUUUUAAUUUCUUUAUGUUUUGACUUUUGAGCCAAUUCGUCACAUAUUUUUAGCAUUUUUGUUUACUCCCAUAUAUAUUGAACCUAAUUUGUGGUUCUUUUAUUUUAUUUUAAAAAUCGUUUUUGCUUUUUGUUUUUAAAAUUAUUAGUUAUAUUUUGACCCCGUAAAAAAUAUUUUUAGGUCCGCGACUCUGGAUUCUGUCAAUAUAUGAGCUUGAUGGUGAUCGAUACAUAUUCAGUCGUAUUAACAUUGACAACCAAAGGAAUUCAAACUUAAAUAAAUAUGAAAUUUGAAUUGAACAAUCCUGAUUAGUGAUUAGUAUGUGUAGUCAUAAAUUAUAUUUAGCCUAGGUAAUGAAAGCAUGCACACGAUAUAUAUAACAUAUCCGAAAUCAAUUUUUUUGGUUAAAGAUCCGUACUCAAUUCAGAUACAUAAAAGGAACAUUAUUCAUCAUUAUUGCUAAGUUACGUGUAAAAGUAUGCUAUGAUAGUAGUUUUAAGAAUAAAUCCAAAAGUACAUGUAGAUCCGUGCUCACGAAAUCAUCCAAUAUGAGUUUUAUUUUUACUUUAGAGACAAAAAGUAUAGGGCGGAAAACUGAAAUUGAAACUAGUGUAGGUCAGAAAAAUACGGCAACCCCGUAAAAAUAUGGUAUUUUUGUUGGGUGAUUUUGCUUAGAGACAAAAUUGAGCAAGGAAAUUAGGGAUUCAACUAUAGUAGGAUUGGUUGGGGACAAACAAAAAUAGGCAUGAUGUUUGGGCCUGAAGAUGAAAAAAAUAACGAAAAUACCACAUCGUCUUCGGUACAUGCGCUUGGGCGAGUUGAUAUUGCCGUUUCAUGAAGUCAAAGAAUAACCUGCAAAACAAUUAAUGCUACGAGUCAAACUGACAAAGCUUACAAAAAGAAAGAAGUGAUUGGCAAUAAAUGCAACAGCUCUUAUCUCGAGCGAAUUAAUAUUGGCAAUAUGUAGAGUAUUAUUAGUAUUUGUAUACAUGUAACAGCGUAUAUAGAGAAUUAUUAAUAUUUUUGUAUUUAUAAAUAUUUAGUUGUAGAUCUACAAAGCUUUUUGGACAUCUAUGCAAAGAUCUAUAAUGCAAAAAUGCAGAUCUAACCAAACUUAUAGAGAGAUAUCAUCCAUACAAAGAUCUAUAACGCAAAAAUGCAGAUCUAACUAAACUCAUAGAGAGAUAUCAAGUAAUUCAGAUAAAUAAAUUAUCAGAAUUCUCCGAUACGGCGAGUUAAAUAGCAUAUGCGAGAGAGUGAUUAGGAUUCUCCGGCGCCGUGAAGUGAAUAAUAUACACGACGAAUCAGUUAGAUCGGAAUGAAGAGGAAUUAAACAGUAAUGCUAGAGAGAGAUGAUGAGACUUAGGAAAACGAUGAACAAGCGAGGUAAAUGGACAUCCAAGAAUCAAGAAAUAUUAACGAAAACAAAAAUUUAUAUGAAUAAGCGAGUGGGGUUAAAAUUGGGCAAAAUAGAGGCUAACAUAAGUGUUGUUCUGGGCUUUGUGUCAGUUUAUCAAAAAAACUAAAUAGUACUCCCAAUAAUGUCUCUCACCCAAUUAUCUUAUUUUUGUUUGGUUAUAAAAUACCUUUGUUUGAAAAAUCGCUAGGCGCUAGUCGGGCGCUCGGCAUGGACCUAGCGAUUAAUCGGAAAAUCGGAUUAAAAUCGAGGAUUAAUCGGGGAUUAGUUUUAGGGUUAUUUUAAUAUUCUUAAAACAUAUCAAUCCAAUAUUAUUUUCAAAAUUGCAGUAAAUACAUAAAAAUGUAUUUUUGAGACAAAUUUUUAUGAUUUUUAUUACAAAUUUAUGAUUUUUAUUAAAAUUUGAACAUAAGUUAUUGUAAAACAUUACAAAGUCCCAAUUCAAAUGAUUGAAUAACAAAAAUUAAAAGUUUUUUUAUACUAGCAAUCUAAAAAUAAUCGGGGUAUGUAAGAUUAGGCGGAGAAUAAUCGGAUUAGGCGGGAAGUAAUCGGAUUAGGCGGAGAGUAAUCGGGUGACUGAUUUCUUUAGAGGAUUAGUCAUUAAUCGAGGCGGAUAGGGUGGGCCUAGCGAUUAAGCGGGGAGUAAUCGGGUCUAGGCGGGGAUUUUUAGAACAAGGUAAAAUACCAAUGGUUCUCUUUGUUGUUUCUUUAUCAUGACAUGAAGGACCCAUCAUCCAUAAUUAUUAUUCUCAAUAGUAUGUUUUUUUAACUUGACUUAUUUGACAAACUCAACAAAAGGUAAUUAAAUCUGAGAAAUCAACAAAAUUUAAUGAUUAAAAUAAAAAAUCAUUUAAAAUUAGUGAAUUUUGUUACAGGAAGCAAAGUUGGUGUUUUAGCAUUUUUAAGUUACGAUUUUUUUUGACAUUUUUUCCAAAUCAAAACCCUAAUCUCAGCGCUACCCUAAUCCCUAGCCUCUAGGUAGCCGUCAAUACAAUAUACAUAUUAGAUCUCCUUGACAUUUCUCUCUUCUCUAACGUCAAGGUCAAGGUACACAAAAUUUUUUUGUUUUUCUGGAUCUGAAGCUUCUUUGGUUUGUCUUCUAGCCAUUACAUUUCUUCCUAUUGAAUCUCAAUGUUCUUGUUCUCUGCUCUGUACUAAAUAAUCCAUGUGACAUUUUUCUGGGAUUUUUGGUUGUGAUUGGAAGUGAUAACCCUCGGAUACUAAGUAAAAAAUCAAGGCUGGAUUCUCUAAGCAGCUCUGUUACUGGAAAACUUUUUACUUGGUUUCUGGUUAGAAACACUCUAGAGAGCUUGAGAUUUGGCAGUGUAGUGAUGUCAUAGGCCUUUGAUCGAGGGAACACUUCUUAUCAUAUAUUAAAAUUCUUGAAAGUUUGUGUCUCAAGUCUCUAAGGUUUGAUGAAUUGUUGCAAAUCUGAAAUUUGGUAAUACUUGGUGUAAUUUGGUGAAAUUUACUCACCACAUCUUAAGAAGUCAUUGGUGAAGUCAUUGGUGAAGCAGACCUCGAGGGUUGCUUUGGAGGACAUCAAGCUCAAGUUCAUUGAUACGUCUUCUAAAUUCUCAUACUGUCGUUUCCAGACUAGUCUGGAGAAGGCCAAGUUCUAUGGCAGACUCAAAGCUUAGAUUUUCAAAAUUCAGUUCCUCGUAUUGCUUUCUAGAGUUUCUAUUUUCUUGUUGACCAUUUUGGUAAAACAUACUUUUAUGCUUUAUUUAAUGAAAAAGGGUAAGCACAAGCUCUCACAUACACGGCGAGCAAUAGAUCCAUGUGUAUCAAUAUCUACAAGAAACAAUAUUACGCAGAGGGUGGAAUCUUUAGUUUACUUAUUUAGAACUUAGAAGCUCUAGUAAUUGGUAAUACAUAACUAAUAUAAAAGUAUGUUAUGAUAGUAAUUAAUUCAAAAAAAAGUAAAAGGUGGUGUUUUUGUUUGGUUAUAAAAUACCAAUGGUUCUCUUUGUUGUUUCUUUAUCAUGACAUGAAGGACCCAUCAUCCAUCGUUAUUAUUCUUAAUAGUAUGUUAUUUAACUUUUAUUGCACAUUAUUCUAUGUUGUUUGCUUCUUGUGGACAAAAAACGACAAAGAUAUACCCACUAAUAAGGGUACAUGAAACAUCAAAGCCGUUUUUAGUUACGUAAAAAAUGAAUAAGCUAAAAAAGUGGAAAUAUAUAUAUAUAUAUUUUUAACAACUAUAUGAAAAAAAUAUUUGAUUAAAAAGAGAGUAUGAAAAGAUGUAAAGGGAGAGUAGAAUAUAGCUUUGUCUUUACAUUUUGUCAUGUCCCCCAAAUUUGCGUACCUACGAAUAUUCACGAUACCUUACGCCAAGACUUAACUAAAUUAAAUUUAGGACAAUGGUUGGUUGAUGGUGAUUGAUUAGCUCGAUUCGUCGGUCUGAAAUCUGUGUAAUUAGUAAUUUGGCUGCAUCAUUUUGGGUAUAACGCAAUGGUUCGUCUUCUCAACGAACGUACAACUAAAUUCUAAGUACUAUUUUGCGAAAUGCCCCAUUAGAACAUUAUUUUAUCAUUCCAACAAUGAGAAACUAUUUUCGACAAACAACUCUCGUCUAUGUUUUUGAGAUUCUCUUCAUUCACCGCAUCAAAUUGUCUUGGCUAAUAAGCGAUCCUUUACUAUUUCUACUUCGACCAAUAUAGUGCUCACGGCUCGAAUAAUUCCAUUUCACAUCUAACAAAAAAAAAGACUCGAAUAAUUCUCAGCAACAAAUUUGAAAUUUCAAGGCUCGAAUAAUUCUUUAUUAACAAAAAGAGCUAGGUAAGGUAAAGAUUGUUUUUAUUUUCAAAAAGGAAUGUGUAGUUUCUUUAGACAUGGUAAUAGCAUAGUAUGGAAAUUAAAGAUAUAAAGUAGAAAGGGUACUUAGGGUAAAUAGAAAUUAUAUAAAACAAGUCAUGGACAAGUGUGAAUUUAUCACUUUAAGACAGUGAAGGAGAUUAUAGGAUCCAGAGACCAAGAUUAUGUCUCCUCCUAAUCCUUAGGUACUAUUAUCACACAAACUCUCGUUAGUAUUUUUAAUUAUCCUUUUUUUUUGUCGUCUGUUUAUUCUUUUCAAUAUAGAAAAUACAUACACUUUUUUUUGUCAAUCAGAAAAUAUAUACACUAAAUAACAAAAUUCUUUCUUCUUAUUGAUCUCUUUCUUAGAUAAGAGCAAAAGCUGAAGGUUGAAGAUGAACGAGUCGAGGUCGAUAAGAACAUGGAGCAUAUACAGAAGCAAAGAGGCUUCAGGGUCAUCUAUGAAUGCGAUUUCGUUUGGGUUUGUGGCGACUGCAAUAUUGAUAUUAAUGUUCAUCAUAUUGGCAAUCCUCGAACAUCUCUUCAAGUCCGAUCAUUCUUCUUCUUACGAUGUUGAUGGCUCUUCUCAGUUUCAGAAACUUGCUGAAAAAACCUCUUUGGUAAACAUUAAACACCACAAUUUUUUUAGUUUUUUUAGUUUUUUUUUUUUUUUUUUUAGUUUUUUUUUUUUUUUUUCUUUGCGCCUUAUUCGUCCCCUUCUCUCAUUUUGUUAUGAAAGACUUAGCCUACAAUCUGUAGUAUGAUAUUUCUUGAAUUUAUUUAGGCCUUUUUCUGAAAAAAGAGCAUAUUAAAUUUGAGAUUUUUCUUUUACAAAACCACAACCCUUUGAAGUUUCACCAAAAUGUAAUUAAGCAAAAAUGAAGUUUAUAAAUGUCUAUAGAUUAAACCAGUCUGUAAAAAAAAUAGCAGCAGUAGUAAAACUUCAAAAUCUACUAAUAACAUUAAUAUAAAAAACCUUGAAAGUUUCUUAUUUAUUCACUAAAACUAAUUUCCCAAAAAUUUGUUAGGUCUUUAAUACUUUUCUUAACAUUUUUGGUUGUUGUUCACUUUCGUUUUUGACGUGAAAACACCACCUUCUAAAAAUUAUCUGACAUAACCUAAGCACGUGAGAUGGCAGGUUCCGAUUACUACGUCAGAUGUGUCGGUGGUGAUGCCGGGAGAAAAAUUGCCGUCGUACGUAGCUCUUCGGGCGCCAUUUCCUUGCCGGAGAGAAGGCAUUCGCUGGCCUUCCCACCUCUAAUAUAUUAUUGUCUCUCUUAGCUUAGUCGUUGUAUCAUAAUUGUUCUGAUCAACUCAACCUUGACACCUUGAACAAUUGCUUGCUGGAUCAAAGUUAGUUAAAGAUUUCUGAUGAUUCUUUCUUUUUUUGUAAGAACCGAGGUAGCUAACUGCCAUUAUAACCCUCACGAAUGUAUCGAUUGUCCAAUUAAAAUAUUUUGCUAAGUUCACCUAUAUAAGGCGACUAGCAAACUUUUGCUAAGUCGGAAUGGAGGCGUACCAUCAAUAGUUGCGUACAAGAGACACGCCUCUUAUGUUUAAGAAGUUUAAGAACUUCAAGAAAAUAUGGCUAAGAAAAUUUUCCUAAGAACAAUCGUCGGA
rnacentral:lncRNA from 1 species